GCGGGGCCCGGCGAAGACCAGCCAGGCCCGUAAAAGGCUGGGUGCUGCAGGCCGCCGGUGGGGUCCCGACCUUGAAAGGAAGCGUCAGUGAGCUGUACCUUGGGCCUCUAGGGAAUGAAACGCCGAUCUGGAUUUAUGGGGUGAGGACACCCAAAGAAGGCGGCCAUCUGCAAAUCAAGAAGAGAGUCCCCACCAGACACAGAUCUGUAGAACCUUGAUCUUGGACUUCUGGUCUCCAGAAUUGUGAGGACCAAUGGUUGUUGUUGAAGCCCUCAGCCUAUGGUACUCUUGUUAUAGCAGCUGGAACUGACUAAGACAAUGAUCAAUAAAUAUCAGUGGUUGUUAUUG